GUAUGAGCCGGCUUGCUGGCGAUGAACGACACGCGGUUUACCUCGUUAACCGCGUGCCUGGAUCGCCAGCAAGCCGGCUCCUGC
rnacentral:misc_RNA from 1 species